UCAGGACGGACGCUGGCGGCGUGCUUAACACAUGCAAGUCGAACGGAAAGGCCCUGCUUUUGUGGGGUGCUCGAGUGGCGAACGGGUGAGUAACACGUGAGUAACCUGCCCUUGACUUUGGGAUAACUUCAGGAAACUGGGGCUAAUACCGGAUAGGAGCUCCUGCUGCAUGGUGGGGGUUGGAAAGUUUCGGCGGUUGGGGAUGGACUCGCGGCUUAUCAGCUUGUUGGUGGGGUAGUGGCUUACCAAGGCUUUGACGGGUAGCCGGCCUGAGAGGGUGACCGGCCACAUUGGGACUGAGAUACGGCCCAGACUCCUACGGGAGGCAGCAGUGGGGAAUAUUGCACAAUGGGCGGAAGCCUGAUGCAGCAACGCCGCGUGCGGGAUGACGGCCUUCGGGUUGUAAACCGCUUUCGCCUGUGACGAAGCGUGAGUGACGGUAAUGGGUAAAGAAGCACCGGCUAACUACGUGCCAGCAGCCGCGGUGAUACGUAGGGUGCGAGCGUUGUCCGGAUUUAUUGGGCGUAAAGGGCUCGUAGGUGGUUGAUCGCGUCGGAAGUGUAAUCUUGGGGCUUAACCCUGAGCGUGCUUUCGAUACGGGUUGACUUGAGGAAGGUAGGGGAGAAUGGAAUUCCUGGUGGAGCGGUGGAAUGCGCAGAUAUCAGGAGGAACACCAGUGGCGAAGGCGGUUCUCUGGGCCUUUCCUGACGCUGAGGAGCGAAAGCGUGGGGAGCGAACAGGCUUAGAUACCCUGGUAGUCCACGCUGUAAACGGUGGGUACUAGGUGUGGGGUCCAUUCCACGGGUUCCGUGCCGUAGCUAACGCUUUAAGUACCCCGCCUGGGGAGUACGGCCGCAAGGCUAAAACUCAAAGGAAUUGACGGGGCCCCGCACAAGCGGCGGAGCAUGCGGAUUAAUUCGAUGCAACGCGUAGAACCUUACCUGGGUUUGACAUGGAUCGGGAGUGCUCAGAGAUGGGUGUGCCUCUUUUGGGGUCGGUUCACAGGUGGUGCAUGGCUGUCGUCAGCUCGUGUCGUGAGAUGUUGGGUUAAGUCCCGCAACGAGCGCAACCCUUGUUCACUGUUGCCAGCACGUUAUGGGGGGGACUCAGUGGAGACCGCCGGGGUCAACUCGGAGGAAGGUGGGGAUGACGUCAAGUCAUCAUGCCCCUUAUGUCCAGGGCUUCACGCAUGCUACAAUGGCUGGUACAGAGAGUGGCGAGCCUGUGAGGGUGAGCGAAUCUCGGAAAGCCGGUCUCAGUUCGGAUUGGGGUCUGCAACUCGACCUCAUGAAGUCGGAGUCGCUAGUAAUCGCAGAUCAGCAACGCUGCGGUGAAUACGUUCCCGGGGCUUGUACACACCGCCCGUCAAGUCAUGAAAGUUGGUAACACCCGAAGCCGGUGGCCUAACCGUUGUGGGGGAGCCGUCGAAGGUGG
rnacentral:rRNA from 1 species